AACUGUAUGGAAAUGAAGCAAUUGCAUAGGAAAGAGGAGAAUGAUAAAUUCCAUUGGGUCAAUGUGCAGCAUGUGGGAAUGUAGACUUAAAAACCAAAAAGGUUUCUGCUCAAAAAAGCUAUGUCCAGGGACAUACAAAGUUAUUAUGCACUCAGUUGACUUUUCUUAAUAAAAAUUCCUUAACUUUCCUGUGGCUAGGAAUGUAGGCCAACAUGCUUUCCCUCUGAGUUCUUAUUUCCUCCUACAGAUGACUACCUUCCUAGAGAAUAUUUGUAAAAACCAAGGAAUGGCUGACAAACAUAUGUUUUCUGAUUGUUGCAAUGUAAAUAACACAGAAAGACAAAAGUGCUUCCUGUUGUACAAAAAAGAUGAUGCAGGUUACAGUGAUAUGUUCCAAAUUCCAAAUCCUGAGCAGAUCUGUGAGAUGGACAAAGAGAAUCGAAUGCCAGUGAAGGAGAGGUAAGCCGUUUCUCCUUGCCGUUGUCUCUGAAGAAGAAUAUUUUCCAAAUUUGAAGACAGAUCUUUUUUAUGUGGGAGCCUCUAAAAACACAAUGCUUUAGUAUAUGGAAUUAAAGUGAAAAUUUGAACGAAAAUAUGUAAUUUUUCCCUCAGAAUGACAAUUAUGAUCUUAGAGAACCCAACAGGAAAUGUCUGGGCUAUGAAACAUUGAAAAUGACUAAGACCUGUAGAGGUCUCAUCUCCUUAGAGGUUAGAUUAGUCAGACCAGCGGCAAAUGAUUGAAAGGUGCUGUCAAGAAGGCAAAGUGUACCAAACAGAGUACUGGGGACAGAGAGUAACUAAUAGCUCUGGCAAGGGGCUGUCAUUAGGGAGGUUCAUCAAGGAAUAGCUGGAGGGGUGUCUGAUGGCAUGGGGAUAGUCUGUCAUUGUGAACCUAGGAAUAAGUGGCAAUUGUAGGUUAGACAGAGAUGAGUUUUCUACUCAAGAUUUCUGAUUCUAUAGUGCCCACCUGGCGUGGAUAGCACUAUGGCAAAUGGGUAGGCAAGCUCACGUUUUCGUUUCUUAGUUAGUAUAGAAGUCUAUUUGUUGAGAGUGGGAUGCGAGCACAUGGCUGGGGUUUAGAGGCAGGAAACUAAUACCUAGAGAGAUAGAAAUGACAAGAGAAAUCCAAGUCUUCAGUUCUCAAGGAAUGCAGUUCUUGCCAUCUUACUGAGAACAGGCUCAGACAGGAGGAAUAUGGCAAAGAUCUAACUGCUGGAUCUGGAGUGCAAGGAGCAUGGUGGUCAUUUGAGUUCAGAUUUUAGACACGAAACUCUAGACCAGAGACGAAUGAGCAGACAGGGUGUCUUGAUGCUGAAUAACAUAAACUCCUUUAAUUCACCCACGCAGGGGCAGAAUUGCCCCAGUAAUUACUGAGCCUUCAAGAAGGAAUUAAGCGGCCCAGCCACUGAGGGAGAAAGUACUAAGGGACAGGGAAUUUGGCAGGCUCCAACUUGUCCGACGUUAGUGGCAACUGUAUGGGAACCAAAAUAUGAGCUUGGCUACCUAUUUACUGUAGUGCUAUCCACUCUAGGUGAGAAUUCUAGAGCCAGGUUUGGGUUGAACACUCAGAGAUUACAAAAUCUAAUCAAUAGUCAAGCAGUGAAUCUAAUCUCUUCUUGAACAUUUACAAUGAAGUCAGUAUUAAGGAUUUAUUUUACAUGCUAAUUUUAACUUAUGUGCAUGCAACUAUAAAUAUUAAAAGGAAAAAUAAUUUUCUGACUAUUUGCCUUAUAAUUAUAAGCCAACAACUUGAUUCACUUCUGAGGAAAGCGUAACUCUUAAUAUCAAAGCUCGAGGAAAAGUCAGGUAUUUUGGACUUAUCAAAAGAUGGCAUAGUAUAUAGAUGCAAAACCAUAGUCACUGUGCCUUUGGAUUCUCUAAGGAAUUUUCAAUAACAGUUUUGAUCAUUGUAAGACUUUAGUAUCCAACUUCCAACCAAGUGUGACCCCCUGUUACCUUACAAUAGGGACAUUCCAUCUUUUAAAUGGCUCUAAUUAUUAGGAAGCUUUUCUUUAUACUAAGUUAAACUUUGCCUUUGGAGAUUUGAAAUUAGGUUGGCUCAUGUUGAAUACUCUCUAAGGGAACUAAGUUACUGUAGCACAAAAUGAACUCUUAAUUCAGCAGAGUACCCAAUAGAGAGCAGAAGUAUUGAACGGCUCCAGUGAAAUUUCACAUUGAUCAAGAAUUUUGCCUUCUCUUGGGAGCCCAGAAGGUACAACUGGUCACUUCAUGGGACUCAAGGAAUGUCUGAGUGAUCUGUCCACACUGAACGUUUGACGCAUUUAAGUUCAGUGCUACCUCUUCUCCAUCACCGUGAAAUUCUAGAAGUUUCAGGUACAUUUAUGAAAUAUCUAGAAAGCAUCCGUUCUUGUAUGGACCCACUAUUCUGACCACGUCUGCUUGCUAUGAAACAGCUAUUCAGUCAUGUUGCCGAGAAGAAAAUAAGACUCAAUGCUUGCAGAUGAAGCUGGAACCCAUCAGGAAAUACAUUAGAAAAAUAUCUUUGAGGCAUCACCAUUUAUGUGAAAUUCGGACUAAAUUCAACCACAAAGUAGCAAAAGCAGUGGAAUUGGUUCUGCUGACUAAAAAACAACCGAAAGCCAAUUUUUCUGAAAUUGCCAAACUCACCGUGGAUACUAACAAUCUGCAUCAGACCUGCUGUGGAGGAAAUGCAGUAGCGUGUGUGCUUGGCAGGAGCCAGCUCGUGAACUAUACCUGCUCUAAACAGGCUCUGCUCUCCAGCAAGAUCACGUCAUGCUGUGAACUGCCAAUGCCAUUCAGAGGAGAAUGCAUUAUCAACUCAGAAAAUGAUGGCAAACCUGAUCUUUCACCCCUACCACUCAGCAGGUUCACAGAAGACCAAUUUGUAUGCAAACAAUUCACUGACAAGCAAGAUGACUUCCUAGAAGAAAACAGAUGUUCCAAAGAGUGGUUCAUGAAAGCCACGAGCAUGUAAAGAAUCACUGUGAUUUACGUCAGAAACUAGGAGAUAGUAACUUCCACGACAGCCUCAUAGUCCUGUACACUAAGAAAGCCCCACAACUAUCUGCUCAAGAGUUGGUUAUGUUCACGAAGAACAUGGCAGCUGCUGCGACCAAAUGUUGCCCACUGAGUGAUGAGCAACAGUUCAUCUGCAUGGAGGAC